GCAGGCCACACACUGCGCAUGCUCCCCUCCCAGGUGCUGGCAGGCCACUGCGCAAGUGUGGACAGCCUACACCAAGGGAAGAGUCAGGGGAGAAGGAACACAAGACUCCGGAAGCAUGCCAGCGUAUAAAACCGUCAGGAGCAAUGGCUGACGCCUGUAAUCCCAGCAUUUUGGGGGCCUAAUCGGGCAGAUUGCUUGAUGCCAGGAGUUCGAGACCAGCCUGGCCAACACGACACUUUGCCUCAUUGGUUCGUGCCUCAGCUUCCAAUCUGGACAUGGAGCACAAUAACAGUGGGCCCACUGCUCUCCGAAUUCCUGCGCGCACUUGAAGGGAGUGUCUGGUGCAGGCAUGCAGGGAGGAAGAAUGACUCUGAGCUUGACCAUUCAACUUCGAAACUUUAACAUCAAUGGAUCAGCACACACUGGUGUACGGUCUGCUAUGCAUGCAGCCCUGUGCUAGGCAAAAGAAGUAUCAGACCAGGAACUGACAGCCUCACUGCAACAGGAAGAGAGGCUUCACACAAUAAGCGUUUCAUUCAACCAGGCUGGACCUGUGCUUAUUGAGUUGAACAUCACUGAGCACAAAAUGCAAGCCAGACACCAUAAGAGCUGUAAGGAUGAUAAAGAUGUCUUUCUACCCUCGAGAGCUCUAAGUGUGGUCAGGAGAGAAACACAUGCAAAGAUUAUGCUGGCUGGAAGGAAAUGCUGGAAUGAAGGUGGAAGCAUUCUAUUCAUCUAAAAGCACCGGUAAUUAACGAUGCUAAUAAAUGUAUAAUCCCUUUGUAAACAUCUCUUCACAAGGUCAUAAAGAAGGAAGACUGAAUGAAGGACGCCAGGCUUUCAUUUUAGAAUUAAUUUUGUCAUUGAAUGCACUCACUGCAUUAUUUGAUAGAGUACUUUUGCAUUUGAAGUAGUACAUUUGCCUUCUACCAUCUCAUUAACAUUGCUUUCAACAGAAUCAGAAAUAACACAAACCACUGCAGGGUAAUUUUGAAUGCUCAUUUGACUAUGCAGUGACAUCAAGUGGCGAGUUGAGGAAUGAUCAUAUGCUGUGUGAGAACUCCGUGUUAAAAAUUCCAUGGAGCCAGGCUAGACACCACAUUUGGCACUUUCAGCUGUUUAGAUUUCAGAGAAUUAAAAGGAAAUGGUCACCGACCUGCCUUUGAUAGUACCCGUAUACCCCUUCCCACCAUAAGAAACCAGCGUUCCUUAGAGAAAUGGCUAAUUCUAGCUCUAGGGCAAGAAAUGCUAAGAUGUGCUCAAAACAUCUCAUUAUACCAGCAAGCCAGGGAGCCAUCAACGACUACUGGAGCUGUGUCAAAAGGACCAACAAACCAACUUGAAGAGGCUCCCGCUGGCCAACAGUGGGGCAAUUAGAGCAUCAAUAAGAAUAAUAUCUGUAACAAACUGAAACGUAUCAAAUAUGUUUAAAUUCAUAUGUUUAUAAUUACACUCAAAAAACGAAGAUGCAGACCACUUUACCUUGAGGAUGUUACAGAAUGAAAUUAUCAUUCUGAAAACUGGUAAAUAAAGAGAAGGUAUCAAGUAAGCAUGUAUCUGGCUUUUUCUAUAUGAAAUAAAGGAAGCCAAAUAGUAAACGAGGGGAAGUUUCUCUUUACUGAAAUAUUGCAGGUAAUAAAAGAAGAAGGAGAAACAGAGAACAUUAUCGUUUUAUGGCCUCUAAUGGAACAAGACAUCUAGGCAAUGAUGAACUAUGGUCACCAACAUCACUCAAUCAGGGACAAUCAGACACUGUGGGCCCCUGAAGGAAGUAAACACCACCACGUAGGAAAUAUUCUCACCAAAACUUCAAAAACUUGAAUCUGAUCUAGUCUUUAGUUUCAACUACUAAUUUACAGGCAAUACGGGGCUCAGAGGGAUGUGGUAAAAUGUCACGGAAAUAUAAUCAGCAAAAUCCAGUACAGAUAAUAAGAAGACAAAUGAUCCACAGAUGGAAAGGAAGAAUGUAAAGUUGUGUUGGUAAAGAAAUUCACAGAUUAAUAAAAGCUUAAAAAUGUACCAUCAGCCAGGUGUGGUUGUGUGCAACUGUAGUACCAGCUACUUGAGAGGCUGAGGUGGGAGGAUUACCUGAGCCCAGGAGUUUGAGGCUGCAGUGAGCUAUGAUCACACCACUGCACUGCAGCCUGGGCAACAGAGCAAGGCCUUGUCUCUUAACAACAACAACAAAAAGAAAGUACUACAAAAUCUGACUUGGAUCCAGAUUCUAACAAAAUAUUAAAACAAAUGAUGGCCAGGCGUGGUGGCUCACGCCUGUAAUCCCAGCACUUUGGGAGGCCGAGGCAGGUGGAUCACAAGGUCAGGAGUUCAAGACCAGCCUGGCCAAGAUGGUGAAACCCUGUCUCUACUAAAAAACUACAAAUAUUAGGCACAGUGGCAGGUUCCUGUACUCCCAGCUACUUGGGAGGCUGAGGCAGGAGAAUUGCUUGAACCCAGGCAGCAGAGGUUGCAGUGAGCCAAGAUCGCAC
rnacentral:lncRNA from 1 species